rnacentral:rRNA from 1 species
UACGUAGGGUGCGAGCGUUAAUCGGAAUUACUGGGCGUAAAGGGUGCGCAGGCGGCUCUGCAAGUCGAGUGUGAAAUCCCCGAGCUUAACUUGGGAAUUGCGCUCGAAACUACGGAGCUGGAGUGUGGCAGAGGAAGGUGGAAUUCCACGUGUAGCGGUGAAAUGCGUAGAUAUGUGGAGGAACACCGAUGGCGAAGGCAGCCUUCUGGGCCAACACUGACGCUCAUGCACGAAAGCGUGGGGAGCAAACAGG